rnacentral:rRNA from 1 species
CGGACGGGUGAGUAACGCGUGGGUAACCUGCCCUGUACAGGGGGAUAACAGUUGGAAACGGCUGCUAAUACCGCAUAAGCGCACGGCAUCGCAUGAUGCAGUGUGAAAAACUCCGGUGGUAUAAGAUGGACCCGCGUUGGAUUAGCUAGUUGGUGAGGUAACGGCCCACCAAGGCGACGAUCCAUAGCCGACCUGAGGGGGUGACCGGCCACAUUGGGACUGAGACACGGCCCAA